rnacentral:lncRNA from 1 species
GGCCCUCAGAUCUCAUAGCUUAAUACAAAUUCAUCUUCGGCCUUAAUCACGGGUUUCAUUCAUAACCAUCUUUGCACCUUUAUAAGCUGUUUGUUCAAACAAUAACACAAACACGCGCACACACACACACAAACACACAUGGUAGAUCACCACACGCGUGUGCACACAGAGGGAGUGAGAGAAAGAGAGAGAAAGAGAGGAGACAGACAGAGGUGCAGAUCAGGUUAUGAACAAAACGCAUGUAGCCGCUCAUUAGUCAAUUCAUACAUCAUU